GGAUGCGAUCAUACCAGCACUAAUGCACCGGAUCCCAUCAGAACUCCGAAGUUGAAGCGUGCUUGGGCGAGAGUAGUACUAGGAUGGGUGACCCCCUGGGAAGUCCUCGUGUUGCAUCCC
rnacentral:rRNA from 1 species